UACGGGGGGGGGCAAGCGUUGUCCGGAAUCAUUGGGCGUAAAGCGCGUGUAGGCGGUCCGGUAAGUCCGCUGUGAAAGUCGGGGGCUCAACCCUCGAAUGCCGGUGGAUACUGUCGGGCUAGAGUGCGGAAGAGGCGAGUGGAAUUCCUGGUGUAGCGGUGAAAUGCGCAGAUAUCAGGAGGAACACCAAUUGCGAAGGCAGCUCGCUGGGACGUUACUGACGCUGAGACGCGAAAGCGUGGGGAGCAAACAGG
rnacentral:rRNA from 1 species